rnacentral:rRNA from 1 species
GUGGCGGACGGGUGAGUAACGCGUGGGUAACCUACCCUGUACAGGGGGAUAACAGUCAGAAAUGACUGCUAAUACCGCAUAAGACCACAGCACCGCAUGGUGCAGGGGUAAAAACUCCGGUGGUACAGGAUGGACCCGCGUCUGAUUAGCUGGUUGGUGAGGUAACGGCUCACCAAGGCGACGAUCAGUAGCCGGCUUGAGAGAGUGAACGGCCACAUUGGGACUGAGACACGGCCCAAACUCCUACGGGAGGCAGCAGUGGGGAAUAUUGCACAAUGGGGGAAACCCUGAUGCAGCGACGCCGCGUGAGUGAAGAAGUAUCUCGGUAUGUAAAGCUCUAUCGGCAGGGAAGAAAAUGACGGUACCUGACUAAGAAGCCCCGGCUAACUACGUGCCAGCAGCCGCGGUAAUACGUAGGGGGCAAGCGUUAUCCGGAAUUACUGGGUGUAAAGGGUGCGUA